AUUGAAGAGUUUGAUCAUGGCUCAGAUUGAACGCUGGCGGCAGGCCUAACACAUGCAAGUCGAACGGUAACAGGAAGAAGCUUGCUUCUUUGCUGACGAGUGGCGGACGGGUGAGUAAUGUCUGGGAAACUGCCUGAUGGAGGGGGAUAACUACUGGAAACGGUAGCUAAUACCGCAUAACGUCGCAAGACCAAAGAGGGGGACCUUCGGGCCUCUUGCCAUCGGAUGUGCCCAGAUGGGAUUAGCUAGUAGGUGGGGUAACGGCUCACCUAGGCGACGAUCCCUAGCUGGUCUGAGAGGAUGACCAGCCACACUGGAACUGAGACACGGUCCAGACUCCUACGGGAGGCAGCAGUG
rnacentral:rRNA from 1 species